UGUUUUCAUCUUACAGCCAGACCGAACAAUUGGCCACCUCUGCCAUCCUUCUGUCCGGUGAAACCGUGUUUCUAUCAGGACAUCCCGGUGGAGAUUCCGGUGGAAUCCCAGAAAACAGUCACUACGAUGUACUACCUCUGGAUGGCCAGCAUCGUGACCCUCUUCUUCAACUUCCUGGCCUCCCUGGCCUUGUUCUGCGUGGACACCUCCGGUGGCUCCGGGUUCGGCCUUUCCAUCCUCUGGACCUUGAUCUUCACCCCGUGUUCCUUCCUCUGCUGGUAUCGGCCCAUGUACAAGGCCUUCAAGUACGUCGAUUAAAAGCAGGCUGUGGGCGAAGGGAGUUGUAGUCCAACAGAUCGAGUGGAGUUUCUGGCCUCUUUUAGAAACUCCUGUUCAAAGCAGAUAAUCUAGAUUUUAAAUGGCAGU